rnacentral:tRNA from 1 species
GCCUGGGUGGCUCAGUCGGUUAAGCAUCUGACUUCGGCUCAGGUCAUGAUCUCACUGCUUGUGGGUUUGAGCCCCAUGUCUGGCU